rnacentral:rRNA from 1 species
CUGAACCAGCCAAGUAGCGUGAAGGAUGACUGCCCUAUGGGUUGUAAACUACUUUUAUAAAGGAAUAAAGUCGGGUAUGCAUACCCGUUUGCAUGUACUUUAUGAAUAAGGAUCGGCUAACUCCGUGCCAGCAGCCGCGGUAAUACGGAGGAUCCGAGCGUUAUCCGGAUUUAUUGGGUUUAAAGGGAGCGUAGGCGGACGCUUAAGUCAGUUGUGAAAGUUUGCGG